CCCUACGGGGCGCAGCAGUGAGGAAUAUUGGUCAAUGGCCGGAAGGCUGAACCAGCCAAGUCGCGUGAGGGACGACUGCCCUAUGGGUUGUAAACCUCUUUUAUAAGGGAAGAAUAAAUGCUACGUGUAGCAUGAUGCCUGUACCUUACGAAUAAGCAUCGGCUAACUCCGUGCCAGCAGCCGCGGUAAUACGGAGGAUGCGAGCGUUAUCCGGAUUUAUUGGGUUUAAAGGGUGCGUAGGCGGUUUUUUAAGUUAGUGGGUAAACGACGGGGGUUCAACUUGGUUUGGCA
rnacentral:rRNA from 1 species